GUUUUUCUCAAAAUCCCAACUCAGAGUCACAGAGGAUUGUCACUGGGGCCUCGGCAUCUGCAUUUCUAAGAAUCACUAUGUGACUUCUUGAACCAUAUAUUAAUUCCUAGUGGAUGAUUUAACAUUAUUAAUUCAUAUAAUUAAUCAUGAUUCUACAAGAUUUAUUGAAUCUCUUCAAGCAAGGUGAACUUUCAAGCAAGAAACACGGCUGGAAGCUUCUUGUCCCUGUUACCACUCUGGAUUUGACAGGUUUGAAGCAGUGAUUUCAGAUCUAUUUUUAUGGACAAUCCUUGAGCCCUCUGAACUUUUAUUGCAGGAGAAUCUAGUAUUUAAAACUUGAAAAUAGGCUCUAAAUCUUAGCAGAAAUAUCUCCUUCAUGCCCAUCACCACCUACAACCCUGAAGGAGGUUUUUAGUUUAAAAAAAAA
ensembl:lncRNA